CCUCUGCCCCAUAUCAUUUCUAAAGAACGUAUGGCUGGGCCAGAAAUGAAUUCAAUCUGUUGGAAUUGCUCUGUACACUUGGUUUGCUCAGUACAGUAAUGUUUAUUGAAAUUGCUGACAUAUUUGGAUGUGCUGUCACAUCCCGGUGCUUGCAUUUCCUGGCAGUGACUUUGGCCAGUCAGUUAUAUUUGCCAUGUUACUUCCUCCUCUAUAAAAAGGGGAUGGUUGUGUGAUGAUUAAGUGAGAUGUAUAUAAAUUAUUUGGUAGACUGACCAGCAAACAUAGGCUCUCACUAGAUUCCCUUUUUUCUCCGUUUUAAACAGACAUGGACAGACACAUCUCACAACCAAAAGAUGCUCAGAACAUCAAGGGGAUGGAGAUUCAGUUCUUGUGACAGAGACUGAGCAAGUGGUGGGCAGAGAGGUGCUGAUGACUGCUGCAAGUCAGAGCCAGUGUCCAGGGCCAGGCUCUGUGUCUGGCACUACACAAGGGUUCAAGCUGCUGGGGAGACAUCCAUGAAAACAUAUGUAAGGACAGUGUGGGGCAGAGCAUGGCUCCCAAUUUUGGCUCAAGAAUCAGAAGAGAGACCCUAAUGUGGAACUGAUCUGAAAGACAGCAAGGCUGGGCGCGGUGGCUCACACCUGUAAUUCCAGCACUUC